rnacentral:lncRNA from 1 species
ACAGAGUUUUAAUUAUUUGUAAAGACUUCAAUUGUUCACUAAUGUCAUGGAUUGGUCCUCACAGUGUGAAGUGCAACUGCCCAGAUCCCCCACAGUAUUAUAAAUAGUCUUCUAAAGCCGGGUUGAUUGAUGUUUGGCAUAAAACUCUAUUCCUCUGAGCACAUAUAUUCCUUCUGUUCACUAUUUUCAUAGAAAAAUACCAGGGCUGAUUUUUUAUUCAAAUCUCCAAUUUAUGCAGGGUUUAAACUACUAAAUACUUAAAGCCGUUUUCAGAUCUUUCCCCCCUUUUCUGUUAGGUAGGUAACUAAAUCUUUGGCUUCAAUGCAAAUAAGAAUUGGAGAUUUAGCAGAUUCCUGUGGGGGAGAGGAAGAGUUUAUUAAUUAUAUUGAGAAUCAAAUAAUAUGCUUCUUUGACACUAAUGUUCCAUCUUUCUCCACCCCAAGUAUCCUAUGGGACAACUUUAAAGCCUUUAUCAGGGUCUAAAUUACUGCAUUUAUGGUUCCUUAGAAGUAGGAAUUUAAUGAAUGGCAUUCUGAGUUGAAGAGAGAAUUUGAAGGUUUAAGCUGCAACGGUGAAGCAAUUUUUUUCAAAGUAUGUGGCAGGGAUUGUAAUAUAAAACAUCAAAAAAAGCACAAUAAAAUACAUUUUCAUGAGUGUUAAUAAAUUUUUAAUACUGAUGAAAUGUAAAUUUUUCCUUCAUGACCCUUAUCUGCAUUUGACAGAGUCCAACAGAAAAUUUUAAGUACCUGUUUAAAGCAAUUUACAAGAUACUGUGGAGAUUCCCAGCAAUAAAGAAUGUACUAUAGUUAAGCUGGAAUCCAACUCCUGAAUUUCUGGAGCCCUGAAGACCACUUAGUCUUACUCACAAGAAUUGAAUGGAAUGUGAAUCUACACUCAGGUGAAGCCAGGGUAUUUUGAACGUCCCUACAAGACUGAAGCACCACUGGGAAAUAAGUAAUAGAGAUGCCAUCAUUGUGGAGGUCAUAAUGCUUGUCCUGAACACGAGGGGUCUCUAGUGAAAACAUUUGCUGACUGCUGUUCUAUCUAGGAUAUCAUCAGUGUGUAGAUGAUCAGAGUUCAUGUCAGUGUUCCUACAAGCCAAUGAAGAAAAACAGAGAUCUGUGUUCUGAAUGGAAAAAUUCCUACUGAUGCCAGUAAGUGAGCCAUCCAUCUAUGAUGUGUCUAUGGGGAAGAAAGUGACAUGAAUGAGUAAAAUAGAAUAUAUGCUUUAAAUCAUGAAAAUUGAGUCCAGAUGGAAAGGUUAGGAGGAAAUGGAGUGGAAAGGUGGAUGAAGAAGAGUGAGAACUCAUGCAGUCGUUGCGACUUGGUUGACACUUCCUUCCCUGUGACUACAAUUCCAAGUUCAGUACUCCUGAGCUUUUAUAGAUGGAUGAGAAUAUAGGGGGAAGAAACAAGAGGAAGGAGUUUUCUGAAAUCUCGGUGGAGAGGAGGGAGAAAAAAGAUGGGAAAAUGUUACAAGCAUUCUGUUCAUGUUGUAUCACUUAGUGCAGUCUUGUCUUCCCAGCCCACUAGUCUGGAACAAGUCAGUCUCAAACAUAACAACAGACACUGGGGAGCUCUCCAACAAAAGAUCACCUCCCAAAGAACAGGAUGGUGUCGAAGACUGAAUGCCAGCCUGAGGAAACAGAAAUACUACAGAAGCACGCCAGAGCCUGCAGUGUCUCCUCGCUGCCUCUCAAUGAACUGCUAAAAGACCAAGAACUCUGCUGAGAGAUAAGAAGAGGGGAGGGUGUGCUGCAGGUGGUGCUGGGAGGCCCAGACCUUCUCCUGACAUCUGGGGCUGGCUACAGGAAACAGAAACAUCACCCAGGCCUUGGCGCGAGACAGGACAGAGGCAGAUUGUGACUCAGAUCUGCAGGUGGAAAGUGGGCCUUUCGUUUUCUCCUAGGGGUAGAGCAAAGCCAGAGGGCUCAGUCAGAGGAAACCUAAGGCAGUUCAUGAUCCCUUCAACUUUAUACCAUUUCCUCAAAACUGCCUCCAAACAGUGGGCAACUGGAAAGGUGGUCUGACCUCCAGUGAUCACACAGUAUGCAUUAUAACAGAAGGCUGUCACUGUCAAUUGCAUGGCUCCCUCACUAUGCAUUCCUUCUAUCAAUUUACGACAACACACUGUAGUGAGUACCUGCACAUUGCUGGGUAUUUUGGCAGACAUUGAUAGUAGAUGAAUAACACCUGGUACUUGACCUUGAGACGCUCACUGCCUAGUGUGGGGAACCAAUGGUUGCAAUAUAAAGUAUUAACUAGAGGGAUAGAGGACUGCCUGAGGAUCUCUGCACUCAGAGGAAGGGCCAUGAGAUCAGCCAGGACAGUAGGGAGGCAGUGACUCAUGAAAUUAGCAAGUGGUGAGAAGAGGGCAGUAGAUUCAGCGGCUGCUAAAAAAGGUUACUGAACUUUUUGUUUCAUCAAUGCCAAGAAAUUAAUCUGUUUUAGCCUCUUUCAUGGCCUCUGUUUGAAAUUUUUUAACUUUUUUUUUUUUUUUAGAUUUAGGGGUACAAGGACAGUUGUAUUGCAUGAGUAUAUCAUAUAGUGGUGAAGCCUGGGCUUUAAGUGCACCUAUCACCCGAAUAGCGUACAUUGUACCCACUAGGUAGUAUUUCAUUUCUCACCCUUCUUCCACCUUUUGGAAUCUCCAGUGUUUGUUGUUCUACUCUGUAUGCCCAUGUGUACUCAUUGUUUCACUCCCACUUAUAAGUGAGAACAUGUGCUUUUGACUUUCUGUUUCUGAGUUGUUUCACUUAGGAUAAUGCAUGUUCCUGUUUUGAUUCAGUCAAAAUCCUGGGGUCAGCACUGACAAUGUGAUUAACCCCUGUCCUAAAUUCACUGCAGAGGAACUGCUCCCAUAUGACUACUUAUUACCACCCAAGCCAGAAACCACAAAGAUAUUCUGACCUCUCCUCCUUCACUCCCCACCAACUGGUGAGUAAGCUAGUCACCAAGUCUUGAUUCUACUUGCAAACAUCUUUGGAAGGGAUCUCUCACUCCACACAGUCUCUGUCAUUGCCAAGUAUACCCAUUACCUCUGCUCUGUCCUACGGCUCAUCAUUCCUCAUCUACAUGCUGCACCAACCUCCUAACUCCCAUUCCUCCCCCUCCUAGUUCACUGCCAUAGCGUAAUCUU